GGUCGAUUAGCUUAGUCGGUAGAGCGUGGUACUAAUACCCCGAGGGGCUUCCCUCCAUGGUUACAUUCCAAGGUCGUGGGUUCGAUCCCCACAUUGACCA
rnacentral:tRNA from 1 species